rnacentral:rRNA from 1 species
CGGCGGACGGGUGAGUAACGCGUGGGUAACCUACCCUGUACACACGGAUAACAUACCGAAAGGUAUGCUAAUACGGGAUAAUAUAUUUGAGAGGCAUCUCUUGAAUAUCAAAGGUGAGCCAGUACAGGAUGGACCCGCGUCUGAUUAGCUAGUUGGUAAGGUAACGGCUUACCAAGGCGGCGAUCAGUAGCCGACCUGAGAGGGUGAUCGGCCACAUUGGAACUGAGACACGGUCCAA